rnacentral:rRNA from 1 species
UACGUAGGGCGCAAGCGUUGUCCGGAAUUAUUGGGCGUAAAGAGCUCGUAGGCGGUCUGUUACGUCCGCGUGUGAAAACCCAGGGCUUAACCCUGGGCUUGCAGUGGAUACGGGUAGACUAGAGGCAGGUAGGGGAGAAUGGAAUUCCCGGUGUAGCGGUGAAAUGCGCAGAUAUCGGGAGGAACACCGGUGGCGAAGGCGGUUCUCUGGGCCUGACCUGACG